AUGCCCGGAUCCCAUCAGAACUCCGAAGUUAAGCGUGCUUGGGCGAGAGUAGUACUAGGAUGGGUGACCCCCUGGGAAGUCCUCGUGUUGCAUCCC
rnacentral:rRNA from 1 species